UACGAGGGGGGCGAGCGUUGUUCGGAAUUACUGGGCGUAAAGGGCGCGUAGGCGGCACUGUUAGUCAGGCGUGAAAUUCCUGGGCUCAACCUGGGGACUGCGCUUGAUACGGCAGAGCUUGAGGAUGGAAGAGGGUCGCGGAAUUCCCAGUGUAGAGGUGAAAUUCGUAGAUAUUGGGAAGAACACCGGUGGCGAAGGCGGCGACCUGGUCCAUUACUGACGCUGAGGCGCGACAGCGUGGGGAGCAAACAGG
rnacentral:rRNA from 1 species